rnacentral:piRNA from 1 species
UGAGCAAGGUAAACAGAGCUGAAGGG